rnacentral:rRNA from 1 species
AUAAACGCUGGCGGCGUGCCUAACACAUGCAAGUCGAGCGAGAAAGGUCUUCGGACUGAGUACAGCGGCGGACGGGUGAGUAACGCGUAAGAAUCUGCCCUUCAGUGAGGAAUACCCUCGAGAAAUCGGGGUUAAUACUGCAUACGUUCCGUAAGGAAGAAAGAUGGCCUCUUUGCUGUCGCUGAAGGAUGAGCUUGCGUACUAUUAGCUAGUUGGUAGGGUAAAGGCCUACCAAGGCAGAGAUGGUUAGCCGGCCUGAGAGGGUGUACGGCCACAUUGGAACUGAGACACGGUCCAGACUCCUACGGGAGGCAGCAGUGAGGAAUAUUGCGCAAUGGGCGAAAGCCUGACGCAGCGACGCCGCGUGGAGGAUGAAGGUCUUCGGAUUGUAAACUUCUGCUAAGUGGGGCGAAAUGUGCGGUUAUAAUACAGCCGCAAGAUGACAGUACCACUAGAGAAAGCACUGGCUAAUCUCGUGCCAGCAGCCGCGGUAAUACGAGAGGUGCAAGCGUUAUUCGGAAUAAUUGGGCGUAAAGGGUGCGCAGGCGGUUUGUUAAGUCAACUGUUUAAUUUCUCGGCCUAACUGAGAGUCAGCAGUAGAAACUGAUAAGCUUGAGUAUGAGAGAGAGGAGUGGAAUUCUCGGGGGUAGCGGUAAAAUGCGUAGAUCUCGAGAGGAACACCGAUGGCGAAGGCAGCUCCUUGGCUCAUUACUGACGCUCAUGCACGAAAGCGUGGGGAGCAAACAGGAUUAGAUACCCUGGUAGUCCACGCUGUAAACGAUGAUCACUGGACGUCAGCUCUGCUUUGCAGGGUUGGUGUCGAAGCUAACGCGUUAAGUGAUCCGCCUGGGGAGUUACGGUCGCAAGAUUAAAACUCAAAGAAAUUGACGGGGGUCCGCACAAGCGGUGGAACAUGUGGUUUAAUUCGACACUACGCGAGGAACCUUACCUAGGCUUGACAUGUUUUUGACCGCCAUAGAAAUAUGGCUUUCCAAAGUUUACUUUGGACAAAUUCACAGGUGCUGCAUGGCUGUCGUCAGCUCGUGUCGUGAGAUGUUGGGUUAAGUCCUUUAACGAGCGCAACUCCUGCCGUCAGUUGCUAUUCCUUUUGGAAGCACUCUGACGAGACUGCCUGGGAAACCAGGAGGAAGGCGGGAAUGACGUCAAGUCCGCAUGGUCCUUAUGCCUAGGGCAACACACGUGUUACAAUGGCUACCACAAAGAGUUGCUAGCUCGCGAGAGCAUGCUAAUCUCAAAAAAGUAGUCUAAGUUCGGAUCGAGGUCUGCAACCCGACCUCGUGAAGCUGAAAUCGCUAGUAAUCGCAUAUCAGAACGAUGCGGUGAAUACGUUCUCGGACCUUGUACACACCGCCCGUCACGCCAUGAAAGCUGGCUGCACCCGAAAUCAUCUUAGCUGACCUUAUAGGAGGCGGAUGCUGAAGGUGUGGGGAGUGAUUGGGGCG